rnacentral:lncRNA from 1 species
CAGUGUAGUCACUUUGGUUUGAUCCAUAGAUACCAACCUCGACGCUCCGAAAUCUGAAAUUUUAGCAACAUUAUUAUCAUCCAGCAAUAUGUUUGCUAAUUUAACAUCUCUGUGAAUUAUAGGUAUAGAAGCUGCAGAGUGAAGAUAUGCAAGGGCGCCAGAAGAUUCAGCAGCAAUUCUUAACCGAUUCUCCAGUGAUAACCAGGAUGCGCCACCAACAAUAUUGUGGACAUGAUCCAAUAAAGAACCAUUGGAUACAAGUUCAUAUACUAAGAGUGGUACCUCACAUUCCAAACAACAUCCCAAAAGUUUAACCACAUUUCUGUGAUUAACUUGUGUAAGAAUCACCACUUCAUUUAUAAAUUGCUCUACUUGACUCUCAUCCAUUUGCUUGGACUUUUUGAUAGCAACCACACGAUUGUCACUUAGAAUUCCUCUGUAAACUACACCGUAACCACCUUGUCCAAGAAUCAUAUCAGCUGCAUAGUUGUUUGUGGCUCUCUUUAGUUCUUCAUUGCUGAAAACUUUUGUAUUGCCUUCUCUACUUUGUUGACCUAACAAGAGACCGCCAUUUUGCCGGAAGAAUUUGUCUCUUUGUUGUGCACGUUUUCUCUUCUUUAAGAUGAAAUAUAACCAAUUCAUUCCAACGAGUAACGAGAGGCAACUGAAUCCGAAACCUGCACCUCAAUAUACAGAAUUGUUUUCAUUAUAAUCCGGAUUGAUAUAAUAGUGAAAGCUAAAGUAGCUACUUACUACGAAUGAGGCUGAGUAAAGAAAACUAAUUUACCUAAUACAUACUUGAUGACUUGGGACUUUUGGGACUUGUUAGCAAUGCAUUUAUCACCUUUCCGGUAGUAUCCAAUUUGACAAGAACAGUAAUAACUCCCAUCAAUAUUGUUGCAGAUCUGAUCACAAGUAUUUUUUUGCUCAUCCAUACAUUCAUUGAUAUCUUGCAAAAGGAAAAAAUCAAACAAAAUUUAGAUAAUUCGGGAUUAAUACAAAAUUAAGAUUACGAUUUUUCUAGUGUGUGUCAUGGGCACAUGCUAAGCACUAAAUUCUAUUAGUUUGAGACAUUUUGAUUGGCUCUUGUUUCUUAAUAAUGGUGGACCUCCUGUGAAUACAACAACCACACCAAUCAAAAUGUCCCAAACCUUUAGAAUUUAAUGCUUAGCAUGUGUCCAUUGGCACACACUAGACAAACCCGAAUAGUUAAUUACCAUAGCAUCCUGGAGUGAGAUAAGGAUUUCCUGCAAAGCCUUGUUUGCAUCUGCAGCGGUAUCCAGUCGACGAGGUUGCAUUGAUGCAUUCACUAUUACUGAAUUUGCAAGCAUAAGAAGUUUGGUCCCGCUGUGCUUCACCGCAAGUUUGAUUCGCAAUAAACCAGUCUAAUACUAUAGGUAUAUCUCGAAUCUUCUGCCUGAAGUAUGAAUCGUUAAGAUAUGACAUGCCUUGAAAUCUAAAUCUGCUUUUCUCACCAACGAAUGCAAACCCACAUUGGUUAAAGUAGGAGACAUUUCUGUAGCGUUUAUAGGUCAGAAGGUCGAUAGAGAAAUUCGCGUGACUCGUGAUGGGUAUUUGACAACAACCGGUGCCAGAACACUCGUCUUCACGAAUCUCCUUGUCAGGUGGGCAUGUGGCACUGCAGACCUGGCUUGGUUUGCUGGUUGUGUGGUUCAAACUGCGAUCGUUGUAUAGGUUGGCAUAGUCAUCACAACCAACAACAGUAAGCACAUUUACAGUGGAAUACGCAAAUGAAGUCUCAUCCAAUCCAUACUCUACAUGAAUGAGUUGUUCAAUUCCGUCGGCAGGUGGCCCAGAUUGAUUGUAGCACUUGGAGGCCUGAAAAGAGUUAAGUCGUAACUCAGUGUCGGAUAUAUCAUGAAUAUGAUGUGUCAUAUAUGGAUCUAAUGGAAAGGCCAAAGGAGGAUUGAUGUCAGUGCUGCAUUGAACUUCAAAGGCGGGACUGAUGGCACAAUCCAGACCUUCUGACUUGAUGCCAAAGGGAUAUGGUAUUAGCAGGUUUCCGCACUGCCUUUGACAUCCCGGCUUGGUAAAGACUUCAGGCUUCAUGAUGGUGUGGUUAGCGGUGUCUGGGGAAAGCACUUCAUACCCCCAAGAACAGCCCAGUAAAACAACAAGAAGAAUUAGAAACAAACGCAUCUUCAUCUUCAGUUUUCGAUAUAAGAAUUUUAUGUCAAUUGCGUAGUAUAUUGGAUUACUGGUAGUCGUUCAAAUUUUAUGUUGUCAGAUAUCACUAAUGGCAUUAAGUAUAGUGGUUGGCUAAAUUGACAUUACUUUAAAUUUGCUAACCGGUUCGACGAUAUUGUUUAUAUUGGUGAAUUAUAAUUUAAUAAUAAUAUAUUAUUAUUAUUAUUUAAGAUUGUUAUAAAUUUAAUAUGUCACUUUAAUAUGAUAAUAAGUGUUGUGUAAUCUUUUUACAAAUUUCUGAUCACUAGUGAAUCGAAAAAUAUAUUCAUCCAUAAGAGGUUUGGCUAUAAUAAUAGACAAAGGAGGGGUGAGUAUGGUUGGAGUGUGAUUUUUCUGAAUAGUUUGUCUAUAUUUUUUAUUUUUGAUAUGCCAAGUAAGUUUUUAGUUAAGGACUUUUCAAGGCUGCAGCAUCUAUAAAAAAAAUUCUAUGAUUAAAGAUGUUCUUAGCGUGUUUUGUUAGUCCAUGCAUGGCCCCUGCUUUUAUACUCCCUCUGUCUCAAUGAAUUAUAUACAUUGGGAUUGGACAAGGAGACCAAAAAAAAUGUAAUAAAUGAGUAAAGUUAUAUGGAAAGUGAGUAAAGUGGUGAGACCCAUAUAUUUUUUAAUAAUAAAUUUGAGAUAUUGGAGUAAAGCAGUGGGUGUAAUAGUGUUUUUUUUAUUAUUAUUAUAGAAUGGAGAUAGUGGGAGAAUGUAGUGGAUGUAGUAGUGUUUUAUAUUAAAAAAAUUGCUAUUUUGAGAAUGUAUAGAAAUGAUGGAACAUCUCAAAAAAGAAACUGUAUAGAAUUUAUUGGGACAGAGGGAGUAGCACAUUUAGAGUUGUCAGUCCGCGUUGCCGGUGCCAGCUUCAUUGUCAGUAUGUCAUUACUUUUCGUUCUUAGUUCAUUCGUUUGACAAUCUUGCCCAUUCAUUUCCAAUAUUACAAUAUUCAAAUAGAUUGGCCCCCGGUCAUAUCAAAUCAUAAAUUACAAACACGAAUACUUCCUCGUAAGUAACUUGUUUAUAAUUCAAACGAAUUCGUCAAUAAAUGGUUUACUAAACUAUCUGUCUAAAGACCAAGUCUCUUAUAAAGCAAACGUAGGGGAGUAGUGCUAGGUGCACAUAAUUGUGUACAGAAAAUUUGUACAUAAUGAUGUGGCAAGUGAUGUGGUGGGAUUUAAUUGGGGUGGUUGAUGUAAAUGCAGGGGGGCCAUCCAAUUAAAAUCCACCACAUGUCAUUAUGUACAUGUUUUUGUACACAAUUAUGUGCACCAAGCAUUUUCCAACGUAGGGAGUACGUUCACAAUCUUUCUUGCCUGUUCAUUUCUGAUCCUACACUCUUCAAUAGAUUGGCCAACCAUAUCAAAUAAAGAGUAUUUUUUUAAUUAAAUUCAAAUUAUUGAAUUAAUUUUAUGAAUACUGAAUUCUGAAUAUAUAAUUGUAUAUACUCACCUCUUAUAACUUAUACAUGAAUAAUUCAUAAGUUCAUUGCAGAAUGCAGAGCAUUUAAAGGGUGAAUGUUGUCUAGCUACAACUUCGCUUCACUAAAAACAAAAAAGAUCUAAUAAAACCUCAAAGGUUGUACUGCAAGUAUUACACCACCAUCAGAAUUCAAAAAUGCCAAUUGCACCGAAUCAAAGGACUAUGAUCUGACUUCUGAGUAAAAAGUUUGCAGACAUUAAACGCCAUGAUCAAACAGUGAAUGUCACCCACCCUGUUUUGAAUUAGAUUCUACUUUUAAUCCAACAGAGGUUUUUGGUGAUAUAAAACAAUUUAUGUAUAUAUAUUAUGGCCGUGAUCAAAUUGAAAUUACAACCAGUAAGAGAUAAACUAAUUAUCUAUCCCACUCUUGCAUAACCUGACAUCACCCGGGCUUAUUACCAAAAUCCAUCACCAGGUGGACAAAACUUAACAUCAAUAAAGAGUGUUUAACUAAACUUAUUUUUAUUCAACUUUCAAGGUUUAUUUUUGAAAAAUAUAUAGAAUUUUACUUUUUUUUUGUAAUAUGAAACAUUUUUUAACAUCUAUAUCCGAAAAUAUUAUAAGAAAAUAUAUUCUUUUGAAAGAACCGGCCUUAAAUUUGAUAAGUAAAAUUUGUCACUCUAUAUAUUAUUACUUCGUAUCAAAUUACGUGAUAUUCUUUCGUAAAACCGUAAGUAAAGUUUGUCACUCUAUAUAUUAUUACUUCAUAUCAAAUUACGUGAUAUUCUUAUAUAAAAGGUUUUAUGCCACACUGUAAGUAAGUAAUAGAAUGACAUGUAAUUUCCCAUCUUAUCAUCUUUCUAUUUUUAAUUGAUAUUGUAAAGUUAGGAAUGUACUUUUUAAUAUAAAUUUAAUAUAUUAUCAAUAAUUAUGAAUUUUGAUGAAAUGAAUCUUUUCCAGAUCUAUUGUAUUGUAGGUAAAAUUUAAAUACAAGAUUUUUGAGAAAAUUCUAAAAUCAUCAAAGAUAUCAUUUAAUACAAAAUACUUAAUUAUCACAUUUUACUUUCACUCUUUAAAUUUAAUAGGAUUAUUCAGAUAAUAAGUAAUGUCAUUUAUAUAUUAAAUAAUUUAAAUAUAAUAUAUAAUAAAAGAACUAUUAAAGAUAUAAUUCAAAAUUUAUGAUAGGGAGGGGAGACAAACCAAAUGCAAUGUAGUUGAGAAAAGUCCGUGUUGCAUUGAACUUCAAAGGUGGGAUUGAUGGCACAAUCCAGACCUUCUGACUUGAUGCCAAAGGGAUAUGGUAUUAGCAGGUCUCCGCACUGCUUUUUACAUCCCGGCUUGGUAAUUAAAGACUUCAGCCUUCAUGAUGGUGCGGUUAGCGGUGUUUGGGGAAAGCACUUCAUACCCCUAAGAAAAGCCCAGUAAAACAAGGAGAAGAAUCAGAAACAAAUGCAAUUUCAUCUUCAGUUUUUGAUACAAGAAUUUUAUGUCAAUUGUGUUUGUGUAGUAUAUUGGUAUCCGUUAGAAUUUUAUGUUGUUAUUGCGUUUUGUUAGGGGUCAUUUGUUAACAAGUGAAUGAAGCCGGAUGCGCUGAACGACACACUCAUUUUUAAUUCAGAUUGUUUGACAACUUUUUUUCUAAUCUGGACGAUGCCAAAAACAGCUGGACGAGAUACCAUAGAGAAUAUAGCAGGUGUCGUCCAGAAGUGUAUUGUAACCCAAAACUUGGUUGUAUGGUGGCACUCACAUACAUUUCUUUUAAAAUUUGUUAAAAAUGUGUAAUUGUUCUCUUCUUUUAAAUAAUAAAAAUUACAUAUAAAUGUUAAUAAUAUAAAUUUUGCAUUAGAAUUAGAUUUAAUAUUAUGCAACUGGAAGGUUCACUAUUUUUUAAUAAAAAUAUUUGAAAUUUAUAAAUUUUUAUAUAUUAUAUUGUUAUAUAUAUAUAUAAUAAUUUAGAAUUUUGAAUAUUAAAAAUUUUCACCUUCAUGAAAACUUAUCUUUCAAUUUAUGUUAAUGAGCCGAAUUAUCAAAAAAUUAAUAUUUAUAUCUAUUUUUUUGAAGAUAAAUAUUUAUAUCUAUUAUUAAAUAUUUAAAAUAUGUAUUUGAUUAUUAAGAAAAUAUAAAAAUUCAAAAAAGAUAAAAUAAAUAAAAGUCACCAGAUAUAAAUAUACAGAUGACAAAAAAUAUAAUUAAUUUAAGAGUAUUCAUGUAUUAUAAACCAGUCAUCCAGAUAUAUUAGAAAAAAAAUAACAAACAACAACAAUUCAUUCAUUCAGAAAUUCACAUCAUUCAGAAAUUCAACAAAAUAACUGUUCAGAUUUAACAAAUGACCCGGUCCACGCAUGGCUGAUGGCCCUCAAAUUUAUAAUUAUCGUUACUUUUCCGACCUAGUUCAUACGUUUCACAGUCUUGCCCAUUCAUUUUCUACAGUACUACAAUCUUCAAAUAUUACAUUCAUUAUUAUGGGGUAGAACUCAUUUUUAAAUUAUGUAAUAUUUACAAUCCAGCAGACCUCCUCACUUGAUGCCAAACGGAUAUGGUAUUAGCAGCUUCCCGCAUUUGCUUUCAAAUCCCGGCUAGAGCCUUCAUGAUGGUGUGGUUGAUGCUCAACUCUAUCUAAUACUUAAAAUCAAGAUGCUCUUUAUCAAAAUUAUAAUUGUUUGAUUCAUUACUUAAAUACUAAGUGGACAACUACAGAAUUUUUUAAGAGCCUCUCCAUCACUGAAAAAAAUAUAUAAAAAUAAAUUGUUCUAAAACAAUUAUAGAUACUAAUUUUCUUAUUAUUAUAGUUUCAUUGUAUUUUACUCUCAGAUAAAGAGAAUCAGAAGAAAAUUGAUAUAGGGGGUGUUUGGCUAGGCUUUUAAGCUCAGUUUCUGGAUUUAUAAGUUAGAAGCACUUAUUUGUAUCGUUUGUGUAAAAAGUCAAGAAGCACUUAUAAAAAGUUAGGGAUGCUAGCUUUUGUUUCACGACUUCUACAUAUUUCCCAAACACUAUAAUCACUUAUAAGUCUUAACUUGCUUCUUACUUCUAUUUCAUUUCUUUACUUUAAGCAAAAAACAUUUAAUUUAAGCUAAGCCAAACGGCCCCAUAAUAUGUAUAUGUUAAUUCAAAAUAAGUUAAGAGGAAUUUAAAAUUAUGCAUAGAACAAGACUCUUCAAUUUUCACUGAGUCACUCUCUUUGAAGCUCCAAUUUCAAAUAUCCAUUUAAUAUUAUGAGUUAACAAGUUUUAGAAAUGCUUUAGAUUUUGGUGGACAGGAAAAAACUCAACGUCAAUGCAGUCAAGAGAAACGCUUUUUUCCUUUUUCCUUUACAGGAUGGAAAGUGUUUAGUACUCUCUACUCAACGCAAGUCAUAUGCAUGCCUUGUACUUUCAGAAAUUGUCCUGAAAUUUAACUUUCAGUUGAAAUUUACAAGUUAAAUGACUAUGAAAUCACACCGUUUAUUCUACUUUCCAGGAAACGUGUUAAACUUGCAUAUUGAAGACCAUGCAAAAUAUCGGUCAAAUCACCCCAUUUAACUAGUCAUAUAUUUCUACACAAUAAUUGAGAGUUUUAUGCUAUUAUUUCUAGAAUAAUAAUGAUAUUUGAAUUUAUCAUCAUAAAGAUCGAGGGAAAGUCAUGUCAAGAAAUCUUUGUAUUGAAAAAAAAAAUUUAAAAUCAAUAUACUUAUAUAAAGGAGAAGCGAGGGACGUGUAGGUGGCGCCUCUCACAUCGCUUUGUUCUAUUUUUCUAAUUUUCUGAAAUUUUUGGAUGAAAAUAUCAAAAAUUAGAACUGUCUUUUUUGAUUUCGGAUAUAUUAGAAGUAAGUUUCAGAAUCUGAUUUUGGAUUUUGUUUCAAGUUAUUUAUGGUAUAUAGUAACUUGAAAGUUUUAAUCUGAUUUUGUUUCAGAUUAUUUAAUUAUGGAAAAAAGUAGCACACAAGUCUCUCUGCACCUAUAAAUACCCUUAUAAGUUGUAGAGUUUUUGAUCAUCUAAACACAACCUUUUCUCUCUCAAUACCACAACCCUACAUCGACGAUAGUUAUCUUGCUCAAUUUCUAAUUCGAUGGUGUCGUUCUUCUACAACGAUAACUGAAGGCUGUUUAUACGGUAUUAAAAAAUAAAGGUUGUUGCAAGCAAAGUUAGUUAUAGCCCGCUAUGUAACACGGGAGAAGAAUAUAGUCCUGGCAUGAUAUUGAUGGAUGAUAUUAAUAAAUUAACUAUCAGUGAUUUAUGUUUGUUGGUUAUUCUUCUAUAAUAUUUAUUUUGUCAAUCGGACAUGUUUGUUGUUGUUAAUUUUUAUAUGAUUUACUUUGUAUAAAGGAAAAUAUUAUCCAUGCAUUAUCACUUCAUCCAUUCAAGUGAAGGCUGUUUAAGUAAGGGUAGUUAUAGACCGCUAUCUCACGGAUUUAAGUUGGAUGUUUUUGUGCACAAUCAAUCCAAAAAAAUUGGAGGAAGGUGACAAUGUAAGAACAUGAUUAAAAAAAAACCCAAAUAAAAUUAAGAUUCAUCGUACUUUAAAUUGUUAAUUACGUGUAGAAAUUUAUUUUCAUUUUUCACCAUGAAUUAUAGUCCAAUUUUGUAAAUUUAUAUAUUAGUAUUGGUAUUACGUCAAGAUUUUUAUCAUAUAAAAUUUAUUUUAUCCUACAAAUAUUAAUUUUGAAUCAUUAAUACAUUUUUUAUAAACAGUCAUAAAAUUAUUGCAUUCUACAAACAAUAAUAUUAAAUCAUUAAUAUAAUUUUUAUAGGCCGCCGCAGCGCGCGGCUUCUCAACUAGUAUUUGAAAAGGGUAAAAUAUUCACAGUUGAGAAAUAAUAUUAAAUAAUUUAAUAACAUAUCACAAAUUUAUAUAAUUAAUAAUAUUAAUAUAUUAUAAUUAUUUUAUAAUAAUACUUAAUAUAAAUAUAAUUAUAUAAUAUAUAAAAUAAAACAUAGAUCAGUGCGGCGGCGGGCAACACAUUCUAAUUUGAGUAAACACAGUUACACAGUUGAUCAUUUAACAAGGACGUAAAAUGUAAAAUUACGGAUGUAAUAUACGAAACUAUAGCCAUGUUAAUACAUAAUUUCUUCAACAAAUCAUUUCACCCGUACCCUAAUUUACAACUUAUAAAGAAAAGUACAAUUACCUAGACGAGUUCAAAACAAUAAAAAAUUGUUAAAAGUUGAGGGAACUAAGAGCAAUUUUCCACACCUUAGCUCUCGAUUAUCUUACACACUUCUACGCAUUUUCAUCACACAUCACACACUUCUACAAAUUCCAUCACCACUGUUAAACAGGCAUGGCAAAACAUAAUUAUAUUUUUUAGUCAUUCAUAACACAAAUUAAGAUAUCUUAACGAGGGCUUAACUGAUCUGAGUCAUUACCAAAGUUACUGCCAGAACUCAUUUCAAUAUCAUAGAUAUUAGAAUGCCUGAUCUCACUAUGACCUUUUAAGCUCGUCAUCUCUUCAUGGCCUUGUUGAUUAGCCCAAGGAUGUUUAGUAAAACCCCUCAAAUUUUGUAGUUCCAUAGCAACUUCCAUCAUUGUUGGUCUUUCCUCACCAUUAAGGUUAAGACACCUCCUCACAAGUAGAGCAGCUUUUUCAAGUUGAUCGGGCGUUCCUUCCUUGACAAUUCGAGGCUCUAGAAUAUUGAGAAAUAAACAGUUUUUGUUCAUGGAGGUAACAAAAAAUGUGGCAAGAUUUCUUUCUUCCUCAGGGUUAGCCAUGCAUAUUGGUUUUCUCCCGGUUAAUAGCUCUGCAAGAACCACUCCAAAACUAUAAACAUCACUUUUAGGGGUCAGUCGGCCGCUAUAGAAAUACUCAGGGUCCAAGUACCCUAGAGUACCUUGGACUAGUGUAGUCACUUUGGUUUGAUCCAUGGGUACCAACCUCGACGCUCCAAAAUCUGAAAUUUUAGCAACAUUAUUAUCAUCCAGUAAUAUGUUGGCUAAUUUAACAUCUCUGUGAAUUAUAGGUAUGGAAGCUGCAGAGUGAAGAUAUGCAAGGGCGCCAGAAGAUUCAGCAGCAAUUCUUAACCGAUUCUCCAGUGAUAACCAGGAUGCGCCACCAACAAUAUUGUGGACAUGAUCCAAUAA